AAUCCAAAUUAAAUUCCGUGGAUUUUUAGAAAUGAUUUCACGAUAGUGGGAGCGAGUACGAGGCUCGGAGAAGUUGUGGAAUUAGUUCGAACGAUUAAUUUUCGAAAAAACGAACGUUAUUUAGGGGCUCGCGAAAGUUGACUUUUUAUACGUUCAAAAUUUGGGAAAACUUUCUUCAUGAAAGUUGUAGAGCUCGUCGAUACGAUCGCGUGCAUAUGCGGAACGCAAAAAUCGGAGUUCGUAUGAAUUAGUUAUGAUUUUUUGAAAAAGUUUCCAAUUUAGUAUAAAGCUUCCAUUUUUGGAAAUUUCCAAAAAUAAAAACAGAUUUUUCCAAAAUUGGAAAAUCUGCUGCGAUUUUAGUUCCCCGCCGGAAAUCGCCUCCAAAACUUCGAUCGACGAUUUCUUCCUCCUCCGGCCACCGAUCCUCACCAAACUUCUUCCAUUGGCUUCGUAUGGUCCUUGCGCACCUGUCUGUGGCAGCCUUUCACGGCGGCGCGGCCUGUAGCGGCGGCGGCAAGCCCGGUCCGAUUUAAGCUCGAUUUUGGUCAACGCCGGUUUUCUCCUAGCUCCGGCCACCAAAACUUCCGAUCCUUGGCUCCAUGAACUCCCCUCAACCUGCUGAUCAUCAUACUAGGAGGAUUGCACCUAGAGUGACCGGUUUCACGUUCGUCGGAGCUCGUGGGUUCCCCUUGAUGUUAUUAACAACUCUCUAGAAGGCAUCGAGGCCUGAAAUUGAAGCUUUGACGUCGAAAUCGAGCCUUGCCGGAUUCUGCAAAAUUCUGGAAUUUUUCCGACCACCGAAGCUUUCGAUCGGUAUAUCUCGAGCUACAGACCAUAUUUUUCUGUGAUUCUUGAACCAGUGAGUUCUUCUUGAGUUUCUUAACAACUCUUCAGAAGGAAUCGAAGCCUUAAAUUGACGUUUUUACGUCGAAUUGGAGCUCGCCGUUUUCUGCAGUUUCUCGCCGGUUUCUGGAAAAUUCCGGCCACCUUCAUACUGUUCAAGUGGCUUUGUGUGGUCAUGGGCGAAGAUCCGACCGUUGGAUCUUCGUAUAAUUGAGAAAUGGUGAUUCGGAAGGCGAUUCGUGAGAAUCCGACCGUCAGAUUUUCAUAUAAUUUUGUGGAGAUGUUUGUAAGGAUGAUUCGAGAAGAUCUGACCGUUGGAUCUUCAUUAUAAUUUUGGAGGAUGAUCCUAAGGGCGAUCCGUGAGGAUCUGACCGUUGGAUCAUCAUUAAAUUAAGAUUCGACCGUCGGAUCAUCAUAUAAUUAGAAUCCGACCGUUGGAUUUCAGUAUAUGUGUGGUUUAUGAGUAAUUUACUAAGUCAAGAUAGUAUCUGAUUAGGUGAUUGACGAAUCGAGUUGGUGGACGAUUCAGAUGGAUAUGUGGCUUUUAGAAGACGCAGCUGGAAUUGGAGGUGAGUAAACCUCACGUGGUUCAUAUUACGAACCCAAUAUAUUUAAUUGCUUUAUUUUGCAAUCAUAUGAACUAUUGUUGGUGUAUUAGACAUUCCUGUGUGAAUGUCUGUAUAUAUAUUAUUACGUGAAAUAAUAUGUAUUGUUGGAGUUGUGUUGAGUUUAUUGUUGAGAAACAAUAUAUUGUGAGGGGUAUUGAGUUUAUUGUUGAGAAACAAUAUAUUGUGAGGGGUAUUGAGUUUAUUGUUGUGAAACAAUAUAUUGAGAGAGAUGUUGAGUUUUAUUGUUGAGGAACAAUAAAUUGUUGUGAUCUGUGGAAGAUCAAUAGGUCACGGGGUGACCAUGGCAUACUAUCAGCGAACCACGCUCUCGCGCCGGGUAGGUGGAACUGAAUAGUAUUAAAUCGUGAACCACGCUCUCGCGCCGGGUAGGUGGAAACGAUCAGUUAGAGCUCUAGUCUGUCUGCCAAAUAUUGAGUGACCUUAUGGGGGAAAUUGAGAGUAACUCAUAAGUGUCUAUAUAUAUAUAUAUGAGAGUGAGAAAGUAACGUGGGUUUGUGGUGGUCUUGUAAUUUAAUAAAUCAACAGUUCUUUCUUGUUUACUCAUACUAGCUGUCAAAAGCUUACCGGGUUUUGUGUUGUUGCAACUCCCGGUACACUAUUCAAAUUGUGUAGCGGGUAAUCCUACAGGACAGGAGAACCAGGACGGUGAUCGUGCGGUUAGAGCAAUUGUUAGAGUUUUACAGCAAUUGUACGUUGUGAGGUGUGUUAUGCUCAUUUGAGCUUUACAAUAUUGCUUGUGAGAGUGAAUUGUAAUAAUGAACUCGAAGUUUCGAGAUUUGGAUUUUGUAAUUGUAAUUAUUCAUGUUUCGGAUUUGAAUUUAUUAUUCAAAAUUCGGGGCGUGACAGUUUGGUAUCAGAGCGUAAGGUGCAUAUUUGGUGAUGUGUCAAUACCUUCCGAGUGAUGGCCCGUCUGCAGCGGAUCCCCAUCGUGUGCUCUUCGGUAUUGGCUAAGUCAUUGGGUAUGCGUGAGUGUUGGGAGUUGUUUAGACCGCUAGGUCGUUUUAGGAACGUGAAUACCUUCCCUAUAGUAUUGACUUGGUUAAUAUGAAUUUGUAUUUGACUUAUACUGUGUUUUAAGUGUUAUACAUGUAUUAGCCAAGCAUACUAUACUCCUUAGGUGAUGGAUAUUCGAAGGGGUUGUACUUAGAACCUUACAGUUGUCUUGUAGGUUCGUAUGGGAAUAAGUUCAGUGGCCGCGAGUUACAAUCCUUGAGGAAUAGGAACCUCUUGAUUCAACUCUGUUAAGUCAACGAGGAUUGUUUUAUGGAAGUGAGGUUCUUUUGGAUGUUGAAGUGUUUGGUUGAAGGCAUGAUGUGGACCUAUGCACAUACCUAGUGUGGAUACGAGUAUUAAUGGAUAGAAAGUUUGCCUUCUUAAGUUGGACGUACAUAUGUUUUUGGAUGAGAUAUACAUGUCAAAUAAUAGAUAUCUUGUUUUGUAACGAGAUGUCUUAGUGGGGUUUUGGUAAUUGGCAUGGGUGAUGUGUUUAAAGUGGCUUUGAGAUAACUAUGCUAAUCUUGUGUGAGAUUGAGUUAUUAGUAUAGAUUGAGAAGGUUUUGUAGUGACGCUAUAUACACAACGUGAUGAACUUUUAGAAGGAAAAGUUAUGAGUAAAGGUAUGGGUUUUUCCCUGAUGUCUAUAGUAGACUUGUGCAUAUGGCAGCGUUUGUGGCAGUGCCAGUAAUGAUUUUGUAGCAGCUUUCGUAGCAAUGCUUAUGUGAUAGGCAGCUUGUGUAGUAGUGCUUGUGUGGCAGUGCUGGUAGUGCUUUAGUGGUAGUUUGUGUGACAAGGAAUUUUAUGGGGGCUAGAUAAAGCUAGGCUUUAUCUUGAUUGUAUUCUAAGUGGUAGGACACCUGUAAACAGGGAUUGGAAAUUCUCCGUUUGGACACCUUGGUCUGUUGACCUGACUAUGACUUGUGGACAUAGUUUUAUUUAAGUGAAGGAAAUUGAUUUUGUGAACUAGUUUUCUUAAGUUUUGGAUCGUAGUAUGGAGUUGGACUGAAGUGAAUUUGAGGUUGUUGUGUUUUAAGUUUAAGUAGGCGGGACACUUAAAGUUUUGAAAUGGAAUUUGAUCUUGGUCGGUAAUUAAU